GUUGUUUACAGCUCGGUCCGGUUAUAUAGUCGAAUAGUUGCUAACUUUAAACUCCAUGUUAAAUGUGAACACCUCCAUGUGCAACCGAAAUAUGAAAAUCGCUCAUGCAGUUAGAAAUAAAGCAGCGCAUUUUUCUUUAUUUUUACUAUCUCCGUGAUUUCAACGAUUUCAAUCCUCGCAAAUGAUAUGUUGGUAAACAAAUGACGCCAUAUUGAUUUUGAUUUUGGGUAGCCUAUAUUCAAUUGAUGUCUAACCCCUGUCAAAUACAACUUCUUUGAUUGGUGACGAACUUCUCUGAUAUUCCCUGACAUUGUUUGAAUUCCCUGAUUUUCAAGGUAGUCGACACCCUGUCAUUGAUUCCACGGACAAAACACGCAGGUGUUCGACUGAUCUUUCCUCAUAGGCAUUACACAUCUUUCGCUUCGGUGAUGGCGAGAAAGUGAGAAACUAUCAGAAGAGUCAGGCGAGGCGUUUCAAGGAUGGGAUAAUGCCCUAGCUGCGGUGGAACCAGUGUGUUUUAGUGGUCGGCAUGAUACUUGAGUUCUAAGAAAUUCAAAGAAAAACAACACUCGAAGAGAUUUAUACGAUUUAAUCAUAACAUUCAAUAUUAUUUCCAGGAUGAUUUAUUUCACUCAUCUAUCUCAGCUGACUUCUGCAUUAACACACUAUAAAUGCCAUUUGUCAUAAAUUUUAUAAACAUACUCUUACAACAAGCAACGGUCAUUUUGAUAAAAAGUUAGACUAUCAAUACAAUACAUCGGAUGCAGUAAAUGUUGUCCAUCAUACAUCAACCUCCUCGUUGUCUUCCAACUCCUCCUCCAUCACGAGAGCCGACUCUAGCAGGAGCCGUCCUCCUCCGGGGGUACCACUGACCCCCGGUCAUUAUCCGUCGAUACGCAGGUACCACUUAUCAUUGUGAUAUCCACUGCGGCGCCUUCUGUACACUGCCAACACGAGCAGCAUCACGAGGAUGGCUGUCGUCGCAAGGAUCAUAAUGCUGAUCAUGCUGGUGGACGACCGUACGUCCGCCUCGACAUAGGUUAGCGAUAGGAACGACACCUGGCACUCGCGAUCCCAGUUCUCCGGGAUGACAUCCGCGUACACUUCGAACAUUCGACGGAGAGGACACCGGGUGCCACAGUUGGGUAUAUUCAUGGCCACGGGCUCAGCGGUGGUAUUUUUGUAGUAUACGGAAACGUACGGAUCCCCGGAUGAGGGUUGACGGAGCUCCAGCAUUACGCACGCAGCGAACGGUGGAUUGUGGAGCUCGAAAAGACGCAAUCCAUUCAGAAGGCUCGCUACGGUGGUGUCAUGGGCGCUGUAAACCCAAAGGACCCGAUUUGGGGUUAGUUUUCGAUCCAAUUUCGCCUGGAAGCGCAGAAGCAUAUCCUUGAUGAGGGGGCCUACUUUGAGUCGUGCCAGUAGAGGUGUGUUGGUUUUCGUUGUAAACGACCGCGCAGAGAUUUCCCACAGGGGCUGUGGAAAAACCUGUUUGGUCCAUUCAGGCAGUGUAAAAUUGUUCAACCGCUCAAUGUUCAGACAGCUGUAAAUGUUCUGAGCUACGGUCAUGGAAUCAACCUUCCUACCGGUGUGGUUAGUUAGGUAUCGAAAGAGUGGUUCCAGUGAUUUGUUGUACGCUUGAUAUUCCUCCGUCUGUUUAUACUGCCUGAGGGCAUAGUCGAAUGCAGGACAGGGUUUCUUGGCCGACAGCAGUGGAUCUAACGCUUCUGGAAUGGUGUGCACCGGGAUUGGUUGCCACUGGAUGGCGGAAUCCCACACAUCGCUGGCAACCGGGGGAUAUAGUCCCGCAAGGUUAGCUUCGGCGCUCAUCAGAGUCCGAUCGACGUCGGUCGAGCGAACGUAGAUGUCGUUGUUUGAGUAGGUCGCACCCAGUAGAGUGCUGUAACGUUUGCGUAGCCACCGUCCCAGCUCCAGAUGACGCAGUUUACCCUCCUGGAGAGCAGAAAGAUGGCAGGUAUUAAUUUACAUAACUUGUUACGCCUUUGACGAUAACUAUCUCGUGUUACCGAGAAAUUCAAUAUUUAUUGCUUGAUUGGGCUACGGUAGCAUAUAUUUUCAGAUUUUAGAGCACCAGACAAAGACGUCACCACUCUUUAAAUUAUCGCUGCGCAAAGGAAGUAGCAUAAGCGUGUAAACAAUAAUAAAAAAAAUAACAACUUCAAACGCAUCAUGUCUGCGAUAAUAGCAUGCUCUGAACUAAAACAAACCGGCUCCAAUUGGUUAUUUGAGACGCGGCUAUUUGGUAGUGUAACGAAAACGCACUAUAAUUUCAUUGUCGAGGUCAGUUUGCCGGUUGUUAUGUGUCAGUUGCAAUUAGUGUUAUGUGCUACUUUGUGCUACGGUACUUACGUUAACCAAUUGUCCCCACCCAGCGGUCCAGUGGCUCGGAUCCUUCCAGGGGUCAUUAGGAUAGGGAUCGAUUGGUGUUCGAUCUCCGUGACGAUACAACUUUGAAACAAAACACAGAUUAAUUAUUAGCAAUAAGCCUGAAACUAUCGCAAAUAGCCCAACUCACCACAUGUGCGAAAACUAGCUCUCCCUCUUCCUGGGUCUCCUGCUGUGCCCGAACAUGGCCGGAAUUGAGUAGCGUCACAAUUACCACUGUAAACAGCAGCAGCCAGCUGUUGCUACUGGUGCUACCCUUACUACGGCGAGAGAAAAACAUUUUCCACACCGCUUUUACUGUGUUUCUUUCCUCUUAUGUAUAUACGUCUGUAAGACUUGUGUCCUCCCCGGAGAGCGUAAAUGCACUGAUGUGCUUCGCCAGCUUCUCUCGCUCAGUCUUCUCAAUCUGCACAGAAUCUUGACCUCAUGGAUGAACAAAAGCAAAAAUAACUCUACUAGGCGAAAAUUAUUGGAUGCUCCUUUUUGUUCCGUUCCGCUAUUGAUAUUGUCCGAACAAAAGCGUGCGUCAUAUGAGUUCUCGCUCCUUGACUAGCUAAUCUUCGGAUUUGUCGAAACAAUCACGAUAAUUCGGGAAAACACAAAUACGCACAGCCUUUUUACUUUUCGUCUCCUUUAUGUUGCUUUGUUCUAUGAUGAUCUGAGCUCCCUCAUCAAGCUGGUAAACGACCCGUAUUUAUGUAAUCUCUCACAGCCGUGGGCAGAGCAUUGAAAUCGAUGCAAAACACAAAACAAAAUACAUUAUCCUAAUGAGCUCAAGGAGGUCCAUCAAGCAGCAUAUCACCGACCGCUUAGUGAUAACACGAAAUACGACAGACAACUAGUUUGGAACACAACUAAAGUUUGUUUCUCCGUUUACCAUUCAGGUGUGUGCAGGGCGAGAAGACUGGUUUUGUGUUUUUCUCUAACCUCCAUCUCUCUCAGGUAGUGUACGAGGGGGUACCGAUAAUUUCUAAGCGAAAAAUAUCAAAAAAUAUAAAUAAAGAGAGAUUUAAAUUGAGUAUAAUUUUCAACGUUGAGCUUUGAGGCACCCCCAAAUCAUGUCUGAGGGUGCUCAUACACUGUUUGACCGAAGCCAAAUAUUUGACUCUUUUUGACAGAUAAAAUUUGGUCACCGUGUACUGAUCAAAUAUUUUCUACACAAAACACGACAAGCAAAUAUUCAAUUAUUGGAUGCCUAGAAUAUUUUUUCAGUCUGUUCUUCGAACUUGUCGGUACAUGGUUAGGUUACCUUGAAUAUUUCAGUUGAUUUUUUCCAUGUUCGGUGUUUGAUAUUGUUUACUACUGUUGAAAAUUGAAGAGUGGCAAACUAGUGUUUGUACAAUUAUCAAAUCAAACCUUAUCUGUCAAAAAAUAUCAAAUAUUUGACCUCCGGGCAAACAGUGUACGGCCACCUUGAUUGAUUCGAUAAUAAUUUUUUUACAAGCCUUUCUUGCCUCUCAGGCUGUCCCAAAAGGUCGAUUUUUUUGCCAAAAUUUGUUUUUCGAGAUGACACCAGACGUUUCAUGCAUUUUUAAGUAAUUUGGCAUCGAAAAAAAAUAUCGAUUUUCCAAAUUUCCUUUACUUCCCCCUUGGAAGAUUUUCUAGGAUCCAAAAAUUUAAAACUUUGAGCGCUAUGAGGUACCC